CCCUGGUGGCUCAGAUGGUAAAGCAUCUGCCUACAACGUGGGAGACCCAGGUUCGAUCCCUGGAUCAGGAA
rnacentral:tRNA from 1 species